GCAUUCCAGCUUUCCUUUUGGAGACACUAUAAGGUCUAAACAAGAGGAGGAUUCUGAAGGGAGACCUCAUUGUGGUCUUCAGCAUCCUCACAAGAAUACUGGACAUAUUAAGCCACCGGAGUGAAGCUGUAAUACGGUCUCACAGCUUUAUAAUACAGGCUUUAUUCUUCCAUGAAACAACUUUGCAGUUCAAUUUGUUCUGCGUAUGGUCUGCAAACUGAAGACACCGGAGGAUUUUUUUUUUCUCAAUAUAACUGGGAAAAAAAAGUCGAAAGUCAUUAUUGGAAUCCUGUGAAACAGGACUACACCCUCUCUGCAGACAUGUUACACUCAGGUUCUUUGUCACUGGAUCCCAGGCUUAUCAGGUAGCGAGGACAGCCAGAACCAGCCAGCCUUAGCUGCUGUAUCUUCAGAGGAGCUGAAGGAUGGUCGCAGUGCAGCACCACACCACAAGAUGGCAAGAACCAGAAGCUGACCUCAAACCAGAAUUCAGAUAGAACAAUGAAAUUACAUUAAAACUUGAGAUUCCAGACUACCAAACAUGUAAUUUUAACGAAACUGGGGGUUUCUUCAGAAGA